rnacentral:rRNA from 1 species
GGGUCCGGACACACUGAGGAUUGACAGGCAAUAUUAAUACGUUUUGCUUCGGUAAACGCGUAUUAUGUUAAAUAUGCUAGUCCUUUCAUGAUUAUGUGAUAGGUGGUGCAUGGCCGUUCUUAGUUCGUGGAGUGAUCUGUCUGCUUAAUUGCGUUUCACUAAGGGCCUAUAAAUUUACGUGUGUUGCAUCGCACUUUGACCCCUUUCUUUAAUUAGAGAGCGCGUGUCUUAGUUUUCGCUUUGCUCAUACAAUUAGGUCCUGAAAGCAACGAACGUGACCGCAACCUCUUGUUGCCUUUAUACCAAACAUGUUUUGCGUCAAUUUUUACGAAUUGCGCGCAUUUCAUGAAAAAAGGCUUUUUAAACUAGAGGGACCGCUGUUACUUUCUUAAACCAGAGGAAGGUUGCGGCAAUAACAGGUCUGUGAUGCCCUUAGAUGUUCCGGGCUGCACACGUGCUACAAUGAUUAUUGCAGUGAGCAUCUCAUUUUUACACACCGCAUGCGCGAGUCCAUUUAUUCACCUUCGGGUGUUUUAAAUGUGUAUCUCUGCGCG